rnacentral:rRNA from 1 species
CCUACGGGAGGCAGCAGUGGGGAAUAUUGGGCAAUGGGCGAAAGCCUGACCCAGCAACGCCGCGUGAAUGAAGAAGGCUUUCGGGUUGUAAACUUCUUUUGACAGGGAGGAGGAGAAGACGGUACCUGUCGAAUAAGCCACGGCUAAAUACGUGCCAGCAGCCGGGGUAAUACGGAGGUGGCAAGCGUUGUCCGGAUUUACUGGGGGUAAAGGGCGUGUAGCCGGGCAGACAAGUCAGAUGUGAAAGCCGGGGGCUCAACCCCCGAACUGCAUUUGAAACUGUUGGGCUUGAGUAUCGGAGAGGCAGGUGGAAUUCCUAGUGUAGCGGUGAAAUGCGUAGAUAUUAGGAGGAACACCAGUGGCGAAGGCGGCCUGUUGGACGACAACUGACGGUGAGGCGCGAAAGCGUGGGGAGCAAACAGGAUUAGAUACCCUAGUAGUC